GACGAAGGAUCCAAGCGUUGUCCGGAUUUACUGGGUUUAAAGGGUGCGUAGGCGGAAAAUUAAGUCAGUGGUGAAAGCCCGCAGCUCAACUGUGGAACUGCCAUUGAAACUGGUUUUCUUGAAUAUAGCUGAGGCAGAUGGAAUAUAACAUGUAGCGGUGAAAUGCUUAGAUAUGUUAUAGAACACCGAUUGCGAAGGCAGUCUGCUAAACUAUUAUUGACGCUGAGGCACGAAAGCGUGGGGAGCGAACAGG
rnacentral:rRNA from 1 species